UAAACUGACAAAAAUACCUCACUGUCCUUAAUUGUAUUGUCUCACUGAGAGCCUUACAUUAGAGGACUCCUAAUGGCGGAAGGUCCGGGACUUAGUGGAAAUAGACCGCGCUGUGCGCCAUUUUGGGACGAUUUUCUCGCAUGCGUGGUAAAAGUUGGCCGUAAUGAUCAGUGGGUUCAAUGUCAAAACUACAGAGAAGAUUACCUUGAAUGUUUGCACCACAAGAAACUGUAUACAAGAAUUCAGAAGAUUAAAAGGCAUAAAGAAAAGCUCAUUAAAGAGGGAAAAUGGCCACCCAAGGAUUUAUCCACAGCACAGUAAUCUUGUCAGGCAAAUUGUUUUGUGCAAUUCAUACAUGAGGUAUUGAAAGAAGUUUAUACUUGUGUGUUUUGUAAGAUUCAGGAAACCAUAAAAAUGUACGUUUCUUGAUUUUGUAAUGAAGAUACAACAUGGUGUUAUCAGCUUUCUGAUUAAGUGUAAGUUUUUUGUUAAUCUGAAUGUAAGGAAAGACUGUUCAAGAGUAAGAGUUUGGCCAAUGUUAUCAGUAUUAACUUGACAAACAAGGAACUGCAAUAAGGGAAUGNAAUGG